GUGGCCCACAUCCGUUUGCUAUCUGGGGGCGUUUUCUCUAAUCUGGAUGUAUGUAUAAUCUGUCUAAUAUUUGAGCAAAUAUAAAAUAAAUAUUAUAAAUACUAUUUUGCUUAAAAUUAUGUACUGGUUUGCUCAUCUUCUGUUCUUAGGACUUCCCACCUGAGAUGACAGCUCGUGAGGCUAAAAACAGAUGUUUGGCCCAGGAGAUUGAUGUUUGCAUAUUUCAACAAAUCUGGACCAAAUAAGUGAUAAUACUGCAUUUUAAUAUGUUGUACUAUAUUGAUUGAGCAGUUAUAUAAAUGUACAUAUUUCCUCUGCAGAACCAUGCAUGCAGAGGUCAAGACACUGCAAUGGAUUCAGUGUAACAUUUGUAAUAAAUGGCUGCACUGUGACUGUGCUGGCAUAAAUCCAGCAAUGGUCACAAAGGACAUGGCAUUCAGAUGUGGAUGUGACAUUGAAAAGUCAUAUCCUUACGAGAAAACACUAUCAGUGUUGAAGCAGGGAUUGGUGGUGAACAUAAUGGCAGAUCAGGACAUUAUGGAGCUACACAACGGCUUGACAAAUGGCACAAUUAGAUCAAACAGUUUUUGCAUAAAAAGCCAAAAUUUUCCCCAAAG